rnacentral:lncRNA from 1 species
CCCACCCAAAUUUCAUGUUGAAUUGUAAUUCCCAUGUAUUGAGGGAGGGACCUGGUGGAAGGUGAUUGGAUCACGGGGAGGAUUUCCCCCAUGCUUUCUCAUGAUAGUGAGUUUUCAUAAGAUCUGACGGUUUAAUAGUGCUUGGCAGUUUCCCCCUUCAUUCUCUCUCUUUCUUGCUCUGACAUGUGAAGACUGUGCCUUGCUUCUUCUUCUGCCCUAACUAUAAGUUUCCUGAGGCCUCCCCAGCCAUGUGGAAUGGUCAAAAAAGGAUAGAAACAUCUAAAACAAUGAUUAUGUUACAGUGAAGAAGGACUUUGUUUUGUCAGCAAUGGAGCAUUUUCCAAGGGAGAUAGAUGAAUGCCCACUCCCACUGCCUAACUUUGUAACUGCUUUUGCUGUUUGUUUCCUCUCAUUCAUUUUGCAUUCGUGUUAGGCUUGCAUCUGUUUAUGUUACUUGUCUAUUAUUCAUCUACAGGAUAACUGCUCAGCAGUCGUUACUUCCUUUCAUAUCUUUUCUGCAUCUUUUGUUUCCAUGGGUUGUUUUGGCAAUAAAACCAAGAAAAGGGUACAAAGCUUAUAAAAAAGUGCAGUUGGAACAUCAUGUUUUUACAGCUCUAAGAACAUUAUUGCUGAUUUCAAAAAGUUUUUUUAAAUGUUAAAAUGUAUUCAGCAAAGUUUAAAGCUCAUAGGUAUGAUAAAUUUGAAAAUUUGAGAAAAUGAAAUUUAAAAAGUGUUUCCAAAACAGCUCGCUACUGUUUGAUCUUCACAUGGCAGUCUGCCUUGUGCAAUUCUCUGUUUACUGUACAUUUUAAUACCUAAGUUUCAAGCAAUGAAGUCAUAGUAAUUCCUUACAUUUGUAUAGCACUUCAUAAUUUUAUUGUGUGAUUACUCAUUCAUUAUGUCCUCUAAUCUUUCUAGGUAGAUAAUUAGCAUCUUCAUUUUAGGAUAGGAAAAAAGAGAGUAAUAACUUUGUUAAAUGACAUGCUAAGAUCAAAAGAUCAAUGGAUCUCUGAGCCUGGAAUCUACACUAACUUGAUACCUGGUGUGGGUCAGGAGAAUCCUCACAAUAUAAAGUUGCUCCAGACUUCCUGCAAGCCUAAGUGGUAAAAUAAGGUUUGGGGAUUUUAGAUUAUGUUAGCAUAGUUUUAUGUGUGAUUUUAAAUCAUUAUUGUGUCUCCAAACUUAUUAAGACUCUAUCUAUCUAUUAUCAAGGGAUUGAAGUUUAGCUGGGAAAGGGGACUAAUACGUAUCUAUUUUACCAUAUUACCUU